rnacentral:lncRNA from 1 species
AUGGAGUCCAGACCCUCGGGGCCCUCAGCAAGCACGUUCGCAAGACCUACAACAAACGGAUUGCUUUCCGGUGUAGCCGCAAUGCCCCCUUCGAGACUCAAAAGAAAUGCAAGUCCCAUCACGCCACAUGCAAGGGGCAAGGGACCCCUCACGAUCACAAAGGUGAACCCUGCUGAAGUCCUGUGGGCUCCAAGGCCGACCCCCACCGAUAGUCCAGCUUCAGCACCCCAACCAGCAUCCCCACCAUCACGGCAGGUAAGGGGGGACCAACUGCUAAUAGAGGAAAGUGCAACCCCUGCCUCGAGGACCGGUGAUGCCACCAAAAGGACCAGCCCCAUCUCCAGAAUCCCCAUGCUGGACCCUGCUGUGAAGGGGAUCACUGCCACCUCCCAGGUCAACAACCUCACCAGAUGCCUCAGCGACCUCAUACAAAACAUCCGGUGUGACACGACCACGAGACGGUGCAGUGCUCCCCCACAGGCAACCUCACGUCACCCUGCCACAGGAGCAACUAACACUGCAUGCCAGGCCACAUGGCGAGACCCAGCCGACGGAGGAGCCUCCUGCAGCCCCCGGUUCCCCAGGCUGGACCCCGCCCUCGGGAGACCCAACACCCCCUCCAAGGUUACCCAACGAGCCUCCAAUUGGGAAAAAACCCAUGCCCCACCGAGGACCCCUCUCUCAGAUACCACCUGCAGACAGCCGGAUGCCACCUGCAGAAGAUCUCGAACCACCCCCCAGUGCUUCCAAACAGAGCCACGCCCCCACAAAGCCCAGCACCGGUGCUCCAGAACCCCACUUCCUUCCGGAAGAUCCAGCGCUGGCUCAGAGACACCGAGAGUGGCCCCCACCACCACAUCAGGACCCCCGCCUCAGGACCCAAAUGAACACCACUCUCUAGGUCGAGGAACAAGAAGGCCAGCAUCUGAGCCUGUGGAGACACCGCAGCAGGAGGAACGACGGCCACGAGCGAGGGUUGCCACACCAUGGCAAUCUGCCUGGGUGGGAGAACUGGCAAAGGCUGAGGACUUCGAGACCUUCGACAGCCUGAUGGACAGACAGACUGCAGAACUCUCUGUGGAAAUUGCUGCCAGAAGGGAACUCCAGGAGACCUCACAGGCCAUGUGCAGAUUCUCUGCGCUGGGCCAUAACAACACUGCCAGAGAAGGCAGGAGAGGGCACGUCGGCCGCCGCUACAAUCCAGCGGCUGCAUCCCAUAUACAGAAACUAUACAGGAUGAUCCGGCUGAAAGCCAUGAGGGAGAUCCUCGACAGGACCUCCUCAUACUGUGCCAUCCAGCCUGAGAGACUCCACUCCUACUUCAAGGACGUGUUCGAUAAUGAGGCCCAGACCGACUUGCGACACCCGGAGUGCCUUCUGCUACCCUGGAUCGACCUCACUGAAGAUCUGGAGCGAGAUUUCUCCCCCUAG